rnacentral:rRNA from 1 species
GACGAACGCUGGCGGCGUGCUUAACACAUGCAAGUCGAACGGAAAGGCCCUGCUUUUGUGGGGUGCCCGAGUGGCGCACGGGUGAGUAACACGUGAGUAACCUGCCCUUGACUUUGGGAUAUCCUCAGGCAACUGGGGCUACUACCGGCUAGGAGAUGCUGCUGCAUGGUGGGGGUUGGAAAGCUUCGGCGGUUGGAGAUGGACUCGCGGCUGAUCAGCUUGUUGGUGGGGUAGUGGCUUACCAAGGCUUUGACGGAUAGCCGGCCUGAGAGGGUGGACGGCCACAUUGGGACUGAGAUACGGCCCAGACUCCUACGGGAGGCAGCAGUGGGGAAUAUGGCACAAUGGGCGGAAGCCUGAGGCAGCAACGCCGCGUGCGGGAUGACGGCCUUCUGGUGGGAAACCGCUGUCGCCUGUGACGAAGCGUGAGUGACGGUAAUGGGUAAAGAAGCACCGGCUAACUACGUG